UGUGUACAUUACAAUCAUAAUAUGAAAGAUAAAGUAGGAUAAAGCGAUAGGUCCAUGUCUAUGCUAUUAGACAAUUAAACAAAAAUAUCUAAUCUGUUGGAAAUUAAAAGACAAGUUAAGCUAGCAGUAGAUUAAGGAAUGACUACAAAUGUCUGUAUUUCCAUCGCAACAACUGCUUUCAAGGAUAACAGAUUCAGCUAUCUCCGUCCCUGAAUACAAGAUUCGACAACACACUGUCCCAAGAGAAACGUGUGCCAAUAUUUAACCAUAUCCAGUCUAGCGCUAUUUCUGUAGAAUACCAAAAGAUAUGGUUUCGUAGAAUAGAAUUCUCCGGUAAUUUGAAAUCCAUGUAAAAUCAAAGUUGCCAUCGAAGCGUGCAAUAUUUUAUAAUUGACAUAGCGAAAUAGCGUAACAAGGCUGCGUAUUGUAUUCAAGUUUUUCCUCAAGAUAUUAACGAACCUUUUGCUCACCGAAACAGAAAGCAGCGAGAUUCAGCCAUGAAAACUGAAGAAUCGCAGCACAGAAUUAAAUCCAUCGACGUUCAAAGUCGCCACCGAAGCGUGCGAUAUUUUACGACUAACAUAGCGAAAUAGCGUAACAAUACGGCGAAUUGUGUUAAAAGUUUUUCCUCCAGAUAUUAAAAUACUUUUUCUUUUUGUUUGUCGAAACAAGAGCGAGAUACAGCCAUGAAAACUGAAGAAUCGCGGCAGAAUUAAAUCUCAUCGAAGUUCAAAGUCGCCAUCGAAGCGUGCGAUAUUCCACGUUAACAUAGCGAGACAGCGAGUAACGAUACCGCGUAUUAAAGUCUUCUCUCAAGAUAUUAAAACGCUCCUUUCAUUGUGCCGAGGCGAGAGUGAAAUUCGUCCGUGGAAAUUGGAGGAUCGCGACGGGACCGAGUCCAAUCGAAUGAAAAUUCAGAGUCGCGAACGUAGCGUGCAACGUUUCGAAAAUUCCCCGGCAUAUUGAGGGAGACACGGCGAGAUAGUGUCGCGAUACAACGUUACUGUCACCGGAAGAGGGAAACGAGAGAAACCUGGAGCAAUCGAGGGGUGGUUCGAGUGACAUUAAAGGGUGUCGCGAGUCCUAAAUUGCAGGCCGGCUGGCUAUGUUCGCCCUGUUCCAGUAAGAUAGGGGCUCGUUUCGCGUUCGCCGGCAACAGAUACAAAUUUUCUCCACUUAAUUCCAUCGGCCGUAGAAGUCUAAUUGCGUCGGCGACAAGCUGGAAACGAGUGUCGUUUAAACACGGGCCCCUAUGGAAAAACCGACGCCCUCUGUAACUGCAUCCACCGUAAAAUUCCCGUGAAUCUUCGUUCUGCAACCGGAAAAACGCUGGAAGACGUCGUUGUUCGAAGAUGAAUCUACAGUCGAAUAAAUCUCGUCGUGCGAUUUAUACGAGGAGGACGAGGAUCGAUGCUGCCUGGUGAUAAUUAAUCCAUUAAAUCCGAGGAUUAUCGAACUGGUACGAGAAAGAACUUUGCGAUAAUCCUAACGAAUUGACUCGCAGUAAUUGCAACGAGUAGGCGUCGCUGAUGCUACACCGGUGACCGGCGAUGUACAAGCUGUAAUAUUAUGAAUCUUAGUGCCUCGAAGUGUAAUACCAUGGAGCAUCGCACAACGGGACAGAGCACAGAACUACGACGCACAGUGCCAUAAACCAUAAAACGCAGAGUAUUAUGAAUCACGAAGCCACAGUAAAUAUCGGAAUUCGCAAUUCCUAUAUCCACCGAAUCAACGCUCGGCCAUUCUAAAUAUCGCCAGGCGUAAAUUACGAACACAGUGAAAUAAAUCAGCUUCUAUUCGUUGGUGCAA